rnacentral:ncRNA from 1 species
GUCGGGAGGGCGGCUAAUACAAGACCCUUCACGGGGAAUAUGCCCGCCGUAUGACUUGCACGGUUUUGACCUCCCGACGCCCUCGC